rnacentral:lncRNA from 1 species
AGCAAGUGUGUGAAGCUACCACAUGAAGAUUGAAUUGAAUAACCGAAAUGGUGUGAAAAAAAUUUGAAUAUUUUAGAUUUUUCGGAGUUAUAAGGUAUUAGGAUGAAAAGAUGCUCAAAGAGCCACCCCUGGUAUCAUAUUAGUUAAAUCUCUAUCUUGAACGGAUUGCGACAAAUUGGUGUCAAUUUUGCCGAAUUUUUAAAAAUUAUUUUUCGU